AUGAGGCCAUCCACCAUGGCUCGAGCCCUCGCGGCCGCGGCUGCCGUCCUCGCCGCCGUGGCCUGCGUCGGCGCGACCCCGGAGACGACGUGCAGGGCGGCGGCGGGCGCGGACAGGCGCGUGGACUACCGCUUCUGCGUGUCCAGGCUGAGCCAGCACCACGACAGCCCCGACGCCGACACGUGGGGCCUAGCCAAGGUGGCCGCCGACGUCGGCGUGCUCAUGGCUAGCAACGGCGUCUACGACAUCAAGGCCAUGCUCGCCGGCAAAAAGGAGCAGCCAGCGGCGGCACGCGGGCCGCUGGAGCAGUGCGAGGCGCUGUACGACAGGAUGGGCUCCGCGUUCGCCGAGGCGUACGACGGCAUCGACAGGCGCGACUACGCGACGGGCAAGGAGAAGGCGGGCGAGGCCGCGUCCCUCGCGCGCCGCUGCGGCGACGCCUUCGCCCGGGCCGGCGUCGCCGUCCCGUCGAGGCUGGCGAAGCAGGGCGCCGACUCGGUGCAGAUGGCCAUCGUCUGCACCGCCGUUACCAACCUCAUCAAGUGA
rnacentral:rRNA from 1 species